rnacentral:rRNA from 1 species
UACGAAGGGGCUAGCGUUGUUCGGAUUUACUGGGCGUAAAGCGCACGUAGGCGGAUCGUUAAGUCGGGGGUGAAAUCCUGGAGCUCAACUCCAGAACUGCCUUCGAUACUGGCGAUCUUGAGUCCGGAAGAGGUGAGUGGAACUCCUAGUGUAGAGGUGGAAAUUCGUAGAUAUUAGGAAAGAACACCAGUGGCGAAGGCGGCUCACUGGUCCGGUACUG